GAUGAACGCUAGCGGCAGGCCUAAUACAUGCAAGUCGAACGGUGUCUUCGGACAUAGUGGCGCACGGGUGCGUAACACGUAUGCAACCUACCUUACAUUGGGGGAUAGCCUUUCGAAAGGGAGAUUAAUACCGCAUAAGACAGUAGCUGGGCAUCCAGCAGCUGUUAAAGAUUUAUCGAUGUAAGAUGGGCAUGCGUCCAAUUAGUUAGUUGGCGAGGUAACGGCUCACCAAGACUUUGAUUGGUAGGGGAACUGAGAGGUCAAUCCCCCACACUGGCACUGAGAUACGGGCCAGACUCCUACGGGAGGCAGCAGUAGGGAAUAUUGGGCAAUGGAUGCAAGUCUGACCCAGCCAUGCCGCGUGCAGGAAGAAGGUCCUCUGGAUUGUAAACUGCUUUUAUAAGUGAAGAAUAUGACGGUAACUUAUGAAUAAGCACCGGCUAACUACGUG
rnacentral:rRNA from 1 species